GAAAUGCGAUAAGUAAUGUGAAUUGCAGAAUUCAGUCAAUCAUCGAAUCUUUGAACGCACAUUGCGCCCGCCAGCACUCUGGCGGGCAUGCCUGUUCGAGCGUCAUUUCAACCCUCAGAACCCCUUGCGGGAUCUGGCGUUGGGGAUUGGUAUCCAGCCAGCCCCGAAAUCUAGUGGCGGUCCCUCCGCGACCUCCCCUGUGCAGUAGCGAUACCUCGCAGCGGGACAGCGGUCUGACCACGCCGUAAAACCCCCAACUUCUCAAGGUUGACCUCGAAUCAGGUAGGAAUACCCGCUGAACUUAAGC
rnacentral:misc_RNA from 1 species